AGUGGGGGAUAACGUGGAGAAAUCCACGCUAAUACCGCAUAUGUCCUACGGGANNAAGCAGGGGACCUUCGGGCCUUGCGCUAUUGGAUGAGCCUAUGUUGGAUUAGCUAGUUGGUAGGGUAAAAGCCUACCAAGGCGACGAUCCAUAGCUGGUUUGAGAGGAUGAUCAGCCACACUGGGACUGAGACACGGCCCAGACUCCUACGGGAGGCAGCAGUGGGGAAUAUUGCACAAUGGGCGCAAGCCUGAUGCAGCAAUGCCGCGUGUGUGAAGAAGGCCUGCGGGUUGUAAAGCACUUUUAUUAGGAAAGAAAAACCCGGAGUUAAUACCUCCGGCAUUGACGGUACCUAAAGAAUAAGCACCGGCUAACUCAGUGCCAGCAGCCGCGGUAAUACUGAGGGUGCAAGCGUUAAUCGGAAUUACUGGGCGUAAAGCGAGUGUAGGCGGCUACUUAAGUCGGAUGUGAAAGCCCCGGGNCUCAACCUGGGAAUNGCAUNCGAACUGGGUAGCUAGAGUUUGGUA
rnacentral:rRNA from 1 species